CCCAGAGUUUUCUAGGGUUCCGCGGAUGCGAAAAGCUCCGGUCUGGACCGAGAGAAAACCCACGGCAAUGCCGUGUACACGGAGGGAUAAAAGCCCGGGAGAA
rnacentral:sRNA from 1 species